rnacentral:rRNA from 1 species
AUUGAACGCUGGCGGCAGGCUUAACACAUGCAAGUCGAGCGGGGUGAUGGUGCUUGCACUAUCACUUAGCGGCGGACGGGUGAGUAAUGCUUAGGAAUCUGCCUAUUAGUGGGGGACAACAUCUCGAAAGGGAUGCUAAUACCGCAUACGUCCUACGGGAGAAAGCAGGGGAUCACUUGUGACCUUGCGCUAAUAGAUGAGCCUAAGUCGGAUUAGCUAGUUGGUGGGGUAAAGGCCUACCAAGGCGACGAUCUGUAGCGGGUCUGAGAGGGUGAUACGCCACACUGGGACUGGGACACGGCCCGGACGCCUACGGGAGGCAGCAGUGGGGAAUAUUGGACAAUGGGGGGAACCCUGAUCCAGCCAUGCCGCGUGUGUGAAGAAGGCCUUAUGGUUGUAAAGCACUUUAAGCGAGGAGGAGGCUCUUUUGGUUAAUACCCAAGAUGAGUGGACGUUACUCGCAGAAUAAGCACCGGCUAACUCUGUGCCAGCCGCCGCCGUAA